rnacentral:rRNA from 1 species
UGAGGAAUAUUGGACAAUGGGCGCAAGCCUGAUCCAGCCAUGCCGCGUGCAGGAAGACGGUCCUAUGGAUUGUAAACUGCUUUUAUACAGGAAGAAACACUCCCUCGUGAGGGAGCUUGACGGUACUGUAAGAAUAAGGAUCGGCUAACUCC